ACCCUGAAGUUACUGCAUUUUAGUCAUCGUUAUUAUCAUCAUAUUACAUGCAUCAUACUGCAUUUCGGGUAUAUAAACAGCCGUCGACUAACUGAACUUCAGUAUUCAAAGCUAAUUUAAGGCAUAAAGUACGUAUCUUUCUUUCUUUCUUUGACAUCAUGAUGUGGUUAAGGCUAUUCUUCGUGUUUCUAUUGUUUGCUGUGAGUCUGACGUGGGCUGGUAGGGUAAUAACGCUCGAGUGUCCUGAUGGAAAACCACCCUCUAGGAGCGGCCAUUGUCCAACAACACCUUUGAUCGAUGAAUAUUUAGAUGAAUAUUCUGACAACAGCAGUAAAGCAACAGAAUAAGUUGUGAAAGCGUCAUACAUGACAGAUAUAACAGGAUUGAACUUUGUGUUACAUCACUUUAAAGUACAAAUUGAUGAGACGUCACAAACUGCCACUCUCAAUCUUUGUUGCGUUAUAUUUUAGUAAAUAUUUAAUGUUCUGUUAAAGUAAAAAAUCUGUUAUGUGGACUAGUUAGAAUUACCAUUUUUAACCCUGCCUAUUUGUAAAUAAAUUGUCAUGUUGUGGUGCAA